CACUGUAUAGCUAUCCUAGCAUUAACCUUUUAAGUUAGAGACGGGGGAUACACCCCCUACAGUGA
rnacentral:tRNA from 1 species